UUGAGCCCAGGAGUUUUAAGUCCAACUUGGGUAACAUAGUGAGACCCCAUCUCUUAAAAAAAAAUUAAAAAAAAGGUCUGUCCAAGCCCAGACAAAGUCUUCACUCCUUCCCGAGGCCCGAGGAAGCCCUCUCUCCCCAGACAUGGCCAAUAAGGGUCCUUCCUAUGGCAUGAGCUGCGAAGCUCAGUCCAGAAUUGAGAAGAAGUACGACAAGGGACUGGAGUAACGGCUGGUGGAGUGGAUCAUAGUGCAGUGUGGCCCUGAUGUGGGCUGCCCAGACCGUGGGCGCCUGGGCUUCCAGCUCUGGCUAAAGAAUGUAUAAUAAUAAUAAAAAAAAAAUGGUGUGAUUCUGAGCAAGCUGGUAAACAGCCUGUACCCUGAUGGCUCCACGCCAGUGAACCUGCCCGAGAACCUGCCCUUCAUGGUCUUCAAGCAGAUGGGGCAGGUGGCUCAGUUCCUGAAGGCAGCUGAGGACUAUGGGGUCACCAAGACUGACAUGUUCUAGAUUGUUGACCUCUUUGAAGGCAAAGACAUGGCAGCAGUUCAGAGGACCCUGAUGGCUUUGGGCAGCUUGGCAGUGACCAAGAAUGAUGGGCACUACCGUGGAGAUGCCAACUGGUUUAUGAAGAAAGCGCAGGAGCAUAAGAGGGAAUUCACAGACAGCCAGCUGCAGGAAGAAAAGCAUAUCAAGGCAGCAACAGAGGGGCCUCCCAGGCUGGCAUGACAUGCUACAGACGACCUUGGCAGAUCAACAGCCCUGCCCUCCCCCAGCUCCUUGGCUGCAGCCAUCCCGCUUAGCCUGCUUCACACAUACCCAUGUGGUACCUUUAGCUCUGGCCAAGCUUUGAGGCUCUGUCACUGAGCAAUGGUAACUGCAGAUGGGCAGCUCUUCCCCAGUACCCCCAGCCUCAGCCCAACUUCUUACCCAAAAGCAUCACUGCCCUGGCCCCUCCCUCCCGGCUACCCCUGCCACCUCUACUGUCUCCCUGCCCUGCACCUCCUCUUCCCACCCCCCUGGGCUAAGCAGGGGAGAAGUGGGCUGGGGGUAGACUGGAUGUGGGGCAAGUCCACUGUUUUCCUUGACGGCAAAAGCCCAUUGAAGAAGAACCAGCCCAGCCUCCCCCUAUCUUUUCCUGGAAUAUUUUUGGGGUUGGAACUCAAAAAGGAAAAAAA